rnacentral:rRNA from 1 species
UAGGGAAUCUUCCACAAUGGACGCAAGUCUGAUGGAGCAACGCCGCGUGAGUGAAGAAGGCUUUCGGGUCGUAAAACUCUGUUAUUGAAGAAGAACGUGUGUGACAGUAACUGGUCAUACAGUGACGGUAUUCAAUCAGAAAGUCACGGCUAACUACGUGCCAGCAGCCGCGGUAAUACGUAGGUGGCAAGCGUUGUCCGGAUUUAUUGGGCGUAAAGCGAGUGCAGGCGGUCUUUUAAGUCUGAUGUGAAAGCCUUCGGCUUAACCGAAGAAGGGCAUCGGAAACUGGGAGACUUGAGUGCAGAAGAGGAGAGUGGAACUCCAUGUGUAGCGGUGAAAUGCGUAGAUAUAUGGAAGAACACCAGUGGCGAAGGCGGCUCUCUGGUCUGUAACUGACGCUGAGGCUCGAAAGCGUGGGUAGCAAACAGGAUUAGAUACCCUGGUAGUCCACGCCGUAACGAUGAAUACUAAGUGUU